UACGUAGGGUGCGAGCGUUGUCCGGAAUUAUUGGGCGUAAAGAGCUUGUAGGCGGUUUGUCGCGUCUGCUGUGAAAAUCCGGGGGCUCAACCCCGGACUUGCAGUGGGUACGGGCAGGCUAGAGUGUGGUAGGGGGAGACUGGAAUUCCUGGUGUAGCGGUGGAAUGCGCAGAUAUCAGGAGGAACACCUAUGGCGAAGGCAGCUCUCUGGGGACGGUACUGACGCUGAGACGCGAAAAGCGUGGGGAGCGAACAGG
rnacentral:rRNA from 1 species